rnacentral:rRNA from 1 species
UGGUGGGUAGUUUGACUGGGGCGGUCUCCUCCCAAAGAGUAACGGAGGAGCACGAAGGUUGGCUAAUCCUGGUCGGACAUCAGGAGGUUAGUGCAAUGGCAUAAGCCAGCUUGACUGCGAGCGUGACGGCGCGAGCAGGUGCGAAAGCAGGUCAUAGUGAUCCGGUGGUUCUGAAUGGAAGGGCCAUCGCUCAACGGAUAAAAGGUACUCCGGGGAUAACAGGCUGAUACCGCCCAAGAGUUCAUAUCGACGGCGGUGUUUGGCACCUCGAUGUCGGCUCAUCACAUCCUGGGGCUGAAGUAGGUCCCAAGGGUAUGGCUGUUCGCCAUUUAAAGUGGUACGCGAGCUGGGUUUAGAACGUCGUGAGACAGUUCGGUCCCUAUCUGCCGUGGGCGCUGGAGAAUUGAGGGGGGCUGCUCCUAGUACGAGAGGACCGGAGUGGACGCAUCACUGGUGUUCGGGUUGUCAUGC